rfam:Aedes albopictus isolate Foshan contig5584, whole genome shotgun sequence.
UGUUCUGUGGCUUAGUUGGUUAAAGCGCCGGACUAUCGAUGCGAAGUCGUAGGUUCGAAUCUCACCAAAUAG